AGAACACAUCUGACAGACAAAAAGGUUUCAUCAAAGACACACAGACGGCUCCUGAAGUAAAGGACCUACACAGGACCUUCAUAUCAAGGACAUUGACUGUGUGGAUCUCGAGGUGCAGUUACCCAAAAGUUGCUACCCACGGAAUACCAGGUUUUGAGGGAUCCUGCCAGAGCAGAGAAUCAACAGAUACAUUGAAGAGGAGACUCCGACAUGACCGCCGGCAUCUUGUGUUAUUCACCCCCACCACUUGUAAUACUGAAUGCCUGAAUUGUUGUUUGCUGCUCAGACUUUGUCAACAGAUAUGGUCUUCGACAUGUUACCCUUAGGUGUGGAAACAGAUUGUGACAGUCCAGCAAAAUGAGCCAGACAGAUAGUAACACUGAAAAAGGACAACGUUGUUCCCAUGGCCUCCCACUGCAGAAGACUACAGACGCUCAGUAAAGCACAAACAGCUGUUCCUCUUGUACUUAAUAAUUUAGUCAGCUGGAUUCUAGGUGCCACU